rnacentral:tRNA from 1 species
GGAGCCGUAGUGCAGGGGUUUAACACGCUGGCCUGUCAAGCCAGAGAUCGCGGGUUCAAUUCCCGUCGGCUCCGCCA